ACCUUCAUUUUAGGCACAUUACACAUACACACACACACGUUAUUUAGCAAUUUCCCCAACACAGGAUUAUUCCUGUUAAACUGAUGAUUGGUCUCCCGCCUGGUUUUGGACUUUGUACAGGUCUUUAACCUUCAGGACAUCUCUAUUUCAGACUUUUGCUUCUCUCUCUACAGCUCUAGAAACAGCUGUCCUUUAUGUUCCUCAGACGUUUGGAGGGUCGGUGUAGGAGGACUUGCCUGGGAUAGAGGACACAUCGGGGCUUGACUGAACAGACACAUGAAGAGCUAUUUCAGACUUGCCAGCAUCCUGGCAGAGUAAGGUAUAGACACUGCAUUUUAGGAGAAUAUUGCUAGUCAGUGUAUUAGUUUUUUCUAUUAAAGGCAAUUCUCAACCAUUUAAGAAUUAACUGCUUACUCAACAGCUCUAAAUCUUAUUCUGGCCAUUCGCUCUUUUAGAGAAAUAUUUAGAGUGAUGACUGGAUGCCACUGUACAUGUCAGAUGCUGAGAAAGUGCAAUCCCCCUCUAAAUAGAAAAGUUACCUUUUUACUUUUUGCUAUAAAUAAAGAGCCCAGACUGGUUUUUUUCUUUCCAUUGAAGUAAACCGUCAUGUCUAGUUUGGUGAAUUUAAAACAAAUGGAAAACCUCACAAGCUCCUAAUGAAUUUGUCUACUAAAAUUUUUAAAAAGUAGAUAAUGGAAGAAACUUGUAGUUUAUGUUAAGUUUCUGAAACUAUAACCUGUUUAUAUAGUACUAGCUAGCAUAAAGACAUACCUCAAUGAAUUCCCAAUCAACAUACUUGGGAUUAAAUUACUGAGUUUCAUC
rnacentral:lncRNA from 1 species